CCGACAGAGGAGUUUUAUGACGACAAGAUGAUAGUUGAGGAGGAAGAUGCUGUUCUUGCUUGGCGUCGAGGCACAAACAGCGCGCGAAAAUUUGUUCCAAAUAUCAAGAAACGGCGAGGGAGACUUUAUGUUGGGAUACAGAAAGCAGAAUCUCACAGCCUUUUGCAAACGGCACCUUCGCCCAAAGAUUUCGUACUUCAGGCCUCAACAGUGAGCUGUCUUAAUUGGGAUCAUACAUUCGAGAAGUGGCAAGACGCAGGCUGUGGGGUUGGCGUGGAUCCAUCUGAUAGCACCAUCAGAUGUAACUGCGACGUUCCUAGGCCGAAGGCUGUCAUUGGCGGCUCCUUGCACGCCCUUCCAAAUACUAUCAAAUUAGACGACAUCUUCAAAGAUCCCAGCAUCCUUAAUGACAACAACCUCGUUUUCUACACGGUUAUUUGCGAGUGGGCUCUUUACUUGGUGUUAAUGAUUAUACUCAACGUCGACUUUCAGCGUU